AAAACAUGGCCCAUGGGAGAUUUCUAUCAUGGGUUGGGCCUGCCCUGUGACUAUUGUUUAACGGUGGCGGUAGAAGGCUGUCCUAAGGUAGCGUAAUAAGUUGUCCUUUAAUUGGGGAAAGGAAUGAAAGGUUUGACGAAGAAAAAGCUGUCUCUUUAAUAUAGUUCGAAUUUUAAUUCUAGUUUAAAAUGCCUAGAUUCUUUAAAAAGACGAGAAGACCCCAUCGAGCUUGAUUAUAAGUUUUAAAUUUAAAACUUAAAAGUUUUAUUGGGGCAAUAAGAAGAAAUAAAUAUCUCUUCUUUUAAAAAUGUAGAUCCAAUAUGAUUGAAAUAAGAAAAAGCUACCGUGGGGAUAACAGCGUAAUUUUUCCUAAGAGUUCUUAUUGAGGGGAGAGUUUGCGACCUCGAUGUUGAAUUAAAGUAACCUCUUGGAGUAGAAGCUAAGAUUGGUAAGACUGUUCGUCUUUUAAAACUUUACGUGA
rnacentral:rRNA from 1 species